UUCUGUCUUCUCUCUUUUCUUCCCUUCACCAACAAUCAAUCAUUUCUUCUUCUUUUUUUUCUUUUACCAAUUUCAAUCCUCCGAAUCCCUAAUUUAUCGAAUCUAGGGCUUGUGUAAUCCGUUCGAACUCUAAAGGUGAAGAAACAAAAAUCCGAGGCCACACGGCUCGAUGAGGUUGUUCGAACAAUGUAGCGUUUGGGGGUGCUGCUAAUUCGCUCUCUCAGCUUUAUACCCACGCCAUGAACCACCAACGCGUCUCUUUCCUCGCCAGUGAACGUCGCGGCAUGGAGAAACUUUACCAAUGGGUUGUGAGACAAGAAGAACAAGGAACUAGAGUACCCACAAUUGAUAUUAUUACCUACUUGCAGGUUUUUUCCUUUGAAACAGUAUCUGGUUUGUGAGUAUACUUUGUACUCAAGCUUCAAGCUUGUGCUUACUUAAUUGGUCUUUAGAUUGAUUAUAUACCACCUCUCGUGAAUCUACCUUUGUUUGACUAGCUUCGAAUACUACACGUCCAAAGUUCUUGAAUUUGAUCUGAAAAGUUAUUCAUGU